rnacentral:rRNA from 1 species
CCUACGGGAGGCAGCAGUGGGGAAUAUUGCACAAUGGGGGAAACCCUGAUGCAGCGACGCCGCGUGAGUGCAGAAGUCAUUCGUUAUGUAAAGCUCUAUCAGCAGGGAAGAAAAUGACGGUACCUGAGUAAGAAGCCCCGGCUAACUACGUGCCAGCAGCCGCGGUAAUACGUAGGGGGCAAGCGUUAUCCGGAUUUACUGGGUGUAAAGGGAGCGUAGACGGCAUUGCAAGUCUGGAGGGAAAGGCGGGGGCUCAACCCCCGGACUGCUCUGAAAACUGUACGGCUGGAGGGCAGGAGAGGUAAGUGAAUUCCUAGUGUAGCGGUGAAAUGCGUAGAUAUUAGGAGGAACACCAGUGGCGAAGGCGACUAUCUGGAACAUAACUGACGCUGAGGAGCGAAAGCGUGGGGAGCAAACAGGAUUAGAUACCCUGGUAGUC